rnacentral:misc_RNA from 1 species
AGCAGAAUUGCAAGGAAAUUAAGAAACAGAUAAAUAAAUUUGAAGUAGAAAACUUUAAUGGCAUUGACCUUUAGGCUAUUUUUGGGAGGGUGGGAAAUGGGAGGACAGAAAGCGGAGGGAAAGGAUAUAGGGAAAUUUGGCAGAUGAAAGAAAACAGGGGAGAGAAAAUAUGAACUGAAAAAGUAUGUGGGACCUACAAAAAAUUCUCCAAAUUAUGUAGAGAAAGUGAGAGGGAAAGCUAA